rnacentral:rRNA from 1 species
UCGAGGAUCUUCGGCAAUGGGCGCAAGCCUGACCGAGCGACGCCGCGUGUGCGAUGAAGGCCUUCGGGUUGUAAAGCACUGUCGAGGGGGAGGAAGCCGAAAGGUUGACCUAUCCCUGGAGGAAGCACGGGCUAAGUUCGUGCCAGCAGCCGCGGUAAGACGAACCGUGCGAACGUUGUUCGGAAUCACUGGGCUUAAAGGGUGUGUAGGCGGUUGAUCAAGUCUGGGGUGAAAUCUUUCGGCUUAACCGGAAAAGUGCCUUGGAUACUGGUCAGCUGGAGGGAGGUAGGGGCAGCUGGAACUUCCGGUGGAGCGGUGAAAUGCGUUGAUAUCGGAAGGAACUCCGGUGGCGAAAGCGAGCUGCUGGACCUCUUCUGACGCUGAAACACGAAAGCUAGGGGAGCAAACGGGAUUAGAUACCCGCGUAGUCC